UACGAAGGGGGCAAGCGAUGUUCGGAAUUACUGGGCGUAAAGCGCACGCAGGCGGAUCGUUAAGUCAGGGGUGAAAUCCCGGGGCUCAACCUCGGAAUUGCCUUCGAUACUGACGGUCUCGAGUGCGGGAGAGGUGAGUGGAAUUCCUAGUGUAGAGGUGAAAUUCGUAGAUAUUAGGAAGAACACCAGUGGCGAAGGCGGCUCACUGGCCCGGUACUGACGAUCAGGUGCGAAAGCGUGGGGAGCAAACAGG
rnacentral:rRNA from 1 species